rnacentral:rRNA from 1 species
UACGUAGGGCGCAAGCGUUUGUCCGGAAUUAUUGGGCGUAAAGCGCGCGUAGCGGUAGUCAAGUCGGAUGUGAAAGCCCUCGGCUUAACUGAGGAAGUGCACCCGAAACUGAGUAGCUAGAGUACUAAAGAGGGUCGCGGAAUUCCCGGUGUAGAGGUGAAAUUCGUAGAUAUCGGGAGGAACACCGGUGGCGAAGGCGGCGACCUGGGUAGAUACUGACGCUGAGGCGCGAAAGCGUGGGGAGCAAACAGG